CUCUACAUUUUAAGCUUGAAGAUGAGUUUUAUUGUCUUAUUUCCUGGUGUAACUCUCCCUUCUUUUUCUAGGUGAAACCAGAGGUUUGAGGCUGGCCUGCAUAGGUGCUCCGAACCAAGAAAGAAGGGCAAGACACAAAGGCCUGGAAAGGAGGGGCGGCUAAGGGCUGCUCUUCCUUGCCCACACGUCCCGCCAGGAAGCCGGGCGGGGCUGGCGUGUGCCGCCAGGAUCCCCGGGAAGGACCCGGCUAAGAUGGGACCAUCUCCUAAGAGGCAAGAGCUCUGGAUCUGAUUAAGACUUCCUCUUCUGGAGAAUGAAGAACGUUCUAGAUCGGAGAGGAUUGGAGGAGAAAGUAAAGACUCGUGCACUGAGGAGUAGUCUGUGUCUGGACCUGCGUGAGCCGGACGUGACCUGCAUAUAGCUGGCGAGACACCAUCGUCACAGACCUCGUCCUUCCUUCUUGUGGGAGACAUUCCCUGUACCGUCGCCUGGUCUUAAGACUCCGCCCCCCACUCCGCGCCCCAAUCUCCGGGAACCACAGGGCUUUCUACCGCACCCUUUGUCUUGCCCCCCGGCUCCCCCGUCUGCUGUGCCUUUGGACGCAGUCAUUCUUGUUUGCUCCAUUAUCUUCCAGCCGGAUACAGAGUGAAUAGUUAACUACACUUAGGUCAAAUGGGAUUUUAAUUUUCGUUCCUGUUCCUUCUAAAGCGGCCAGUGUUUGCGUUGCUCUGUGAGCAACGUUGGAAUAGUACGUCCUCUCCCUUAUUUGGGAUCUGGCCCCCUCGGGUUCCAGAGCGAGGCAGGUGAGUGCCAAAGUUCUUCAGGGCUCUCCAGUGUCAGGGACACCGGAGGGGGUCCUGCAGGGGAGCUGGCUCAGGACGGCUGGUGUCCUCCGUGUCCAGCUUCUGUCGUUCGGAUCACACGCAGGUGUAUGUCUGGAAGAGUGAAAAAGACGAUUUGUUCAUCCCAGCUACCUCCUACCUUUUUUAAACUGUAUUUUUGACACAUAACUGACAUACCGUUAUACUCGUUUCCCACCUGUCUUCUGUUGAGGCAGACGCACCGCCCGCUAUGAAGACCCCCCCCCCCCCCCCCCCACCUCGCAGGUGGCAGUUAGGACCCAUGCCAGAACAUGGUGCUUCCUUACAGACAAUCUGGCUGCCAGAGCUGGUGUGUUUAUUGAGGAUCCUCGUCCCCCAGAAUGCCGAUGACACUCCUGAUGGCAGGCUGGGCCCCGUGAAACACGAGUCAAAUAUUCUGUCACCACCGUGUGCAUGGCUAAAAGCACUUCUAGAUUCGCUCUUGUCUGCGUUGCACAGCCAACGAUGUCUGCACGUCCUGCUUCCCCAAAAAAUGGAUGGCUCAUUUUUGUAGAAAGAAUUAAAGCUGUACAUAUCCACCUU